GGAUUAGAUACCCUACUAUUUUUAUUGUAAAAUAUGAAACUCGAGUAUUAGUAGUUAAGGUCUUGAAACUUAAAGAAUUUGGCGGUAUUAUAGUCUAUUUAGAGGAAUCUGUUAUGUAAUCGAUAGUCCACGUUGAACCUUACUUAUAUUAUUUCUUGUAUACCGCUGUCUAAGAAUAUACUUUUAGGUUAUUUUCUUAAUAUAAUAUUAAUUAAAAUUUCAGGUCAAGGUGCAGUAAUAUAUAAGUUGAAUAAUGGAUUACAAUAAAUUUUAUUUAUAUGGAUUGUUAUUGAAAUAUAAUUUGAAGGUGGAUUUAAUUGUAAUUUUUUAAAGAUUGUUAAAAUGAUUAAUAGCUCUAUAAUAUGCACACAUCGCCCGUCGCUCUCGUUAUUAAGAUGAGAUAAGUCGUAACAU
rnacentral:rRNA from 1 species